CUUGGGAUGACCUUUUGCAGUCUUUGGAAACCGUAAUCUAUGGUAGGUUCAUUCAAAGCUGUGUAAAUAAACCUGCCUGGGGCGCCUUUGCAAAACUGUUUGGAUUUGUAUGAUAAUGUCACUUCAACCACUCCGGGAAUGUGACGUGGAGGUGUCUGAACUCGAAUGGCAUGAGGCGUGAUAAGCUCACUCCAUACAAGCAUGGUUCCAAACACUACUUGCAGCCCAUCAAAGAAGUUGUCUCCAAUAAUGAUCACCAUUGCUCCUCCCGUUGUCCACCCUUCGCUUGGGCUGAUGGCUUUGAUGCACGGUGUGGCUUCAGAGGGGUCAAGUCUCCUUGCUCUCCGUCCAUGCUUGGAGUUGUUGUGAACAAACAUGUUGUCAGACACUGCCAGCACGUGCCCAUCAACAUUCACUGUUGUGGAUAGCACAACCUGGAACCGCCUCAUAUCUCGGGGGUUUCCUGCUGUUUUCAAACAAUUCUGAUUGCACUUGAGAAAAAAUUUUAAGAAGAAUCUGUCGAUGAUCACGGGGUCCGAUGGAGUCUCGUUUCUGUUGCCACAACUCUUCUUCU
rnacentral:lncRNA from 1 species